UGCCAGCCGCCGCGGUAAUACGGAGGGUGCAAACGUUGUUCGGAAUCACUGGGCAUAAAGAGCACGUAGGCGGUCUAUUUAGUCGGAUGUGAAAGCCCUCGGCUCAACCGGGGAAUUGCAUUCGAUACUGAUAGACUCGAGGAUGGUUGGGGUAAGUGGAACUCCUGGUGGAGCGGUGAAAUGCGUAGAUAUCAGGAGGAACACCAGUGGCGAAAGCGGCUUACUGGACCAUUUCUGACGCUGAGGUGCGAAAGCUAGGGUAGCGAACGGGAUUAGAUA
rnacentral:rRNA from 1 species